GGCUGUUAUGUUGGUUUUCUCAUGGUUCAAGAAAAACGGCAGAGCCAUUGCCAUACAGCACCAGAUACGUGGCAUGCAUACCAAGCAAAGAGACUGAAAGAUACAUAAAAUCUCUUAACCAAUUAAAACCUUGUCAACUUGGAGCUGCGUUGCUAUAAAGACAAGGUGAAAUGUCACCAUCUUGCUAUCUUAGCCGACAUUUUUGUGCAUUAUAAUUACCGGAAAUUGAUCAAUUAUUCUAGUUUGGUAUGUACAUGAUGUUGAAAAUGGUAUUCUUCUUGUAUUAGUUAUAUGUCAUUUGACAGCGAGGUUUCUUAUUAGCAUCUCCUUCACCUUCUAGGUCAACAAUGCCAACUCAGAUCUUUCA